rnacentral:rRNA from 1 species
UACGUAGGGGGCAAGCGUUGUCCGGAUUUACUGGGCGUAAAGAGCGCGUAGGCGGAAGCUUAAGUGUGGCCUGAAAGCCCCCAGCUCAACUGGGGGAGGCCGUCGGAGACCUGUCGACUUGAGGCCGGUAGGGGAGAGCGGAAUUCCCGGUGUAGUGGUGGAAUGCGUAGAUAUCAGGAGGAACACCAAUGGCGAAGGCAGCUCGCUGGGACGGUACUGACGCUGAGGCGCGAAAGCGUGGGGAGCAAACAGG